UGCUCUUCCCCAAUAUGGUAUGAGGUCUGUACUAUGCAAUCAAUAAUAUAAUUUCAGAUUUUCUGGGGUGCCUGGGUGGCUCAGUCAGUUAAGUGUCCGACUUUGGCUCAGAUCAUGAUCUCACGGUUCAUGGGUUCGAGCCCCGCGUC